UACGUAGGGUGCAAGCGUUGCCCGGAUUUAUUGGGCGUAAAGGGCGCGUAGGCGGCUCUGCACGUCCGUUGUGAAAUCGCCCGGCUCAACUGGGCGGGGUCAGCGGAUACGGCAGAGCUUGAGCAAGCUAGGGGGCAAUGGAAUUCCCGGUGUAGUGGUGGAAUGCGUAGAUAUCGGGAGGAACACCAGUGGCGAAGGCGGCAUCCUGGACCGAGAUUGACGCUGAUGCGCGAAAGCCAGGGGAGCAAACGGG
rnacentral:rRNA from 1 species